rnacentral:rRNA from 1 species
UGAUUAUGGCUCAGGAUGAACGCUAGCUACAGGCUUAACACAUGCAAGUCGAGGGGAAACGAUAGAGAAAGCUUGCUUUUUCUAGGCGUCGACCGGCGCACGGGUGAGUAACGCGUAUCCAACCUGCCCACCACUUGGGAAUAACCUUGCGAAAGUAAGACUAAUACCCAAUGAUAUCUCUAGAAGACAUCUGAAGGAGAUUAAAGAUUUAUCGGUGAUGGAUGGGGAUGCGUCUGAUUAGCUUGUUGGCGGGGUAACGGCCCACCAAGGCGACGAUCAGUAGGGGUUCUGAGAGGAAGGUCCCCCACAUUGGAACUGAGACACGGUCCAAACUCCUACGGGAGGCAGCAGUGAGGAAUAUUGGUCAAUGGGCGAGAGCCUGAACCAGCCAAGUAGCGUGCAGGAAGACGGCCCUAUGGGUUGUAAACUGCUUUUAUAAGGGAAUAAAGUGAGUCUCGUGAGGCUUUUUGCAUGUACCUUAUGAAUAAGGACCGGCUAAUUCCGUGCCAGCAGCCGCGGUAAUACGGAAGGUCCGGGCGUUAUCCGGAUUUAUUGGGUUUAAAGGGAGCGUAGGCCGGAGAUUAAGCGUGUUGUGAAAUGUAGAUGCUCAACGUCUGCACUGCAGCGCGAACUGGUUUCCUUGAGUACGCACAAAGUGGGCGGAAUUCGUGGUGUAGCGGUGAAAUGCUUAGAUAUCACGAAGAACUCCGAUUGCGAAGGCAGCUCACUGGAGCGCAACUGACGCUGAAGCUCGAAAGUGCGGGUAUCGAACAGGAUUAGAUACCCUGGUAGUCCGCACGGUAAACGAUGGAUGCCCGCUGUUGGCCUGAAUAGGUCAGCGGCCAAGCGAAAGCAUUAAGCAUCCCACCUGGGGAGUACGCCGGCAACGGUGCAACUCAAAUGAAUUGACGG